rnacentral:rRNA from 1 species
AGGACGAACGCUGGCGGCGUGCUUAACACAUGCAAGUCGAGCGGAAAGGCCCUUCGGGGUACUCGAGCGGCGAACGGGUGAGUAACACGUGAGUAAUCUGCCCCUAGCUCUGGGAUAGCUCCGGGAAACCGGGAUUAAUACCGGAUACGACCACCUUAGACAUCUUUUGUGGUGGAAAGAAUUUCGGCUAGGGAUGAACUCGCGGCCUAUCAGCUUGUGGUGGGUAACGCCUACCAAGGCGACGACGGUAG